GACAGAGGAUGCAAGCGUUAUCCGGAAUGAUUGGGCGUAAAACGUCUAUAGGUGGCUUUUCAAGUCCGCCGUCAAAUCCUAGGGCUCAACCCUGGACAGGCGGUGGAAACUACCAAGCUAGAGUACAGUAGGGGCAGAGGGAAUUUCUGGUGGAGCGGUGAAAUGCAUUGAGAUCGGAAAGAACACCAAUGGCGAAAGCACUCUGCUGGGCCAACACUGACAUUGAGAGACGAAAGCUAGGGGAGCAAAUGGG
rnacentral:rRNA from 1 species